rnacentral:rRNA from 1 species
GUGCCAGCAGCCGCGGUAAUACGUAGGUGGCAAGCGUUGUCCGGAAUUAUUGGGCGUAAAGCGCGCGCAGGCGGCCUUUUAAGUCUGAUGUGAAAGCCCCCGGCUCAACCGGGGAGGGUCAUUGGAAACUGGAAGGCUUGAGUACAGAAGAGAAGAGUGGAAUUCCAUGUGUAGCGGUGAAAUGCGUAGAGAUGUGGAGGAACACCAGUGGCGAAGGCGACUCUUUGGUCUGUAACUGACGCUGAGGCGCGAAAGCGUGGGGAGCAAACAGGAUUAGAAACCCUCGUAGUCC